GCACAUUUUGUCUUUGGGUAGUGGAAGUGUAGGUAAUGUCAGUGUUUGGGGUUUUUCUUUGAAUUUUUAAGCUGUUUUAGAAAUAAGUUUUGUUAUUAGGAAAAUUAUUUUUAAAGAAAUAUACAUCUGAGGGAAAAGAGAACAAAGGCAUGAUAAAUAAGGGGUCCUUGGUUGGAGAUGAUGCAUCCAGAACAUUUUGGAUAAAUAAGCUACUUUGAGUUAAGGGCCUUCUCGGCCUCCUACAUCAACACAGAAUCUCACCCCACCCUCCUAGUAGACACUUUCCUCCCAACCCCCUAUCAGCUACAAAUACU
rnacentral:lncRNA from 1 species